rnacentral:rRNA from 1 species
UACGGAGGAGGCAAGCGUUAUCCGGAAUUACUGGGCGUAAAGCGCGUGUAGGCGGCCCUGCAAGUCGGGUGUGAAAUCCCACGGCUCAACCGUGGAAGUGCAUUCGAAACUGCAGGGCUAGAGUCCUGGAGAGGAAGGUGGAAUGCUUGGUGUAGAGGUGAAAUUCGUAGAUAUCAAGCGGAACACCGGUGGCGAAGGCGGCCUUCUGGACAGUGACUGACGCUGAGACGCGAAAGCGUGGGGAGCAAACAGG